AACGCGAAGAACCUUACCUGGGCUUGAACCGCACAGGACCAUCUUUGGAAACAGAGACUUCCCGCAAGGGACCUGUGUAGAGGUGCUGCAUGGCUGUCGUCAGCUCGUGCCGUGAGGUGUUGGGUUAAGUCCCGCAACGAGCGCAACCCUUACUCAUAGUUGCUACCCGCAAGGGAGAACUCUAUGAGGACUGCUCCGGAUAACGGAGAGGAAGGUGGGGAUGAGGUCAAGUCAGCAUGGCCUUUAUGUCCAGGGCUACACACGUGUUACAAUGCGCGCCACAAAGCGUCGCGAACCCGCGAGGGGGAGCUAAUCGCAAAAAAGCGCGCUCAGUUCGGAUUGCAGUCUGCAACUCGACUGCAUGAAGCCGGAAUCGCUAGUAAUGGCGCAUCAGAACGGCGCCGUGAAUACGUUCCGGGCCUUGUACACACCGCUGUA
rnacentral:rRNA from 1 species